rnacentral:rRNA from 1 species
AGCAGCCGCGGUAAUUCCAGCUCCAAUAGCGUAUAUUAAAGUUGUUGCAGUUAAAAGCUCGUAGUUGAAUUUCAGGCCUGGCUGGACGGUCCGCCCUUCGGGUGAGUACUGUCUGUGGUCGGGUCCUACCUUCUGGCGAAGCGUCAUGGCCUUAACCGGCCGUGGCGGGGAACCAGGACUUUUACUGUGAAAAAUUAGAGUGUUCAAAGCAGGCAAAUCGCUUGGAUACAUUAGCAUGGAAUAAUGGAAUAGGACAAUGGUUCUAUUUGUUGGUUUCUAGGACCGUUGUAAUGAUUAAUAGGGAUAGUUGGGGGCAUUAGUAUUCAACUGUCAGAGGUGAAAUUCUUGGAUUUAUUGAAGACUAACUACUGCGAAAAGCAUUUUACCAAGGAUGUUUUCAUUAAUCAAGAACGAAAGUUAGGGGAUCGAAGACGAUCAGAUACCGUCGUAGUCUUAACCAUAAACUAUGCCGACUAGGAAUCGGGCGAUGUUAGAAAAAUGACGCGCUCGGCACCUCAUG